AAGUAUGAAGCGAUUUAUUGCAUUUAGUUUCGACCUAACCUUAGAUUUUAAAAAUCCUUACUUU
rnacentral:tRNA from 1 species